CUCUUCCCGCUCUCUCUCUCUCACCUUUCUUGUGUGUGUCUUUAAUCCACGAAUGCCCUGCCCACGCAUGCCUUUACUCUCUCUCUGAAGCUCGGUUGACGACUAUUUGUCGAACGUGAGGAUUCCUUGCCUGAUUCGAUGUACUUGGUUGUAAAAUGAUGGAAGACGUGUUUCAGAAAAGAUUUGGCUGCAUCACAAGUUAGAAUACAGUGGUUGUAGGUGAUCAGCUUUCAGAAGUAAACAAGGAUGGAACUUCUGGAGAAGAUUUCAACAAUAACUCAAUUGAUCGUGAAGAAAGGCGGCUCACAGAGCUUUGGAGGUUUUGUUGGUUUUUUUUUUUUUUUUUUUUUGUUUUUUGUUUUUCUUUUCUUCAGGAGAAAUGGUCACACAACGGCUGUAUGUGAACUAUCUUAGAUAACCAUUUCUUACUAACCAACUUUUCAUGUGUAGAAUAUCCUAUCUGGGAUAAAAUGAUGAUUACUUGGUAUGAACUUUAGGCCAAUCCACUUACCAUGUCGGCAGGACAAUUACAUUUAGUCAUGUGAUUAGCUAGAUGUCCAUUAGCUCGCCAUUGAUUUUGACUUAUAGCCUACCCAAUGAGUAGAUUAACUCAAUUUCAAUAACAGGUUUCAUGGUAUAUGACUCACCUUUUACAUGUAUUGAAUAUUUUGCAAACGCAACUCUGGUGGGAAAAAAUGCAGAAUGUGAAAGUUCAUAUACAGUUGUUGUAUGUGAUGAUUUUGCGAACGCAACUCUGCCCUCCAAUCAUGUGCAAGGAAAAGCUAUGUAUUAAGUGCAACCUGCCUGAUGAACCAUGAAUUAUAAUCACCAGACCAAAUUUAACACAUGUUAGUCACUUGUAUGCAUAUGCAACUAGAUUGUCAUGUGUACAGUGCGCAUAUAGAUGAACAUAUGGAUAAAAUACAUGCAUGCUUGUUGGUGCUUCCUGGUGGAAGGGUUGAAGGCCUGAUUUCUCCUAGAGGGAACCGACAUCUCUACAAGGGCGAAUAAUUUAAAAGGUGGGGGAACCUUGUGAGGUGGGCCACAACAUGGAGGAAGCACAUUUACUACAUGCUCAACAAGGAAUUCCAAUAUCGGAAUAUGGGGCAUUAGAAAAAUCAGCACAAGCCUAUAAAUAGGCUGAACCCCAAUUGGAAACAGUUAAAGUUACUAUUCAACGUCUAUGUUCGUAACUUGCUCAGCUCCAAGAUACAUACGCGUUGCAAGAAAAAUGCAGCCAGUCAAAUCUGUAUUUAGGACCAAAUGUGGUGAAGCUUAAGCUAAUGUGAUUCUGACAUGAAAAGAAGAAUUAAGCAUCCUAAAUCCAGAAGCUAAUGUAUCCCUUUUUUCCCCUGUUAAGUUUUUGUAAACUGUAUGGAAAGUUAGGAUAGAUCUCUGUCCAAGCAUUAUGAAGCUUAUCCCAUUGAAAAUUCCAUGGCGGGAACCAGUUGCUUCCUCAUAAAGUUUCAUGAUAGAUAACAAAUGUAAUCUAUGAGAAGGGAUACGCCGUGCAAGCUAUUGCAUGCAUACCAUGAUGGCUGGUUAGAAGAAGUGGUACUACGCCAUCUUGGCGUUGAAGAUGGAAACACUGUGAUAGCUAAAGAUAUCAGGGUUCUCAGAGUUUGAUGAAUAUGUUCCCAUGGUAGAAAAAGCUAUGGAUUCAAGCUGGAAGAAAGAAGUGUACCCAUCAAAAUCUCCCGUCUCCUAGAGGUAUGCAAGUAUAUAUUAGAUUUCAUUGGGGACUAGCAGGGUUUUACAAAUCAAUGGGUAUAUGUUGUUAUAUGAGGUAUCAUAUUUAGUGGUUUCCAUUUAUGUGCAUGUAUUUUUCAUAUGAGAUAUCAUAUAAUGCUUUGGUAGGGAAUUUUUAUUUUCGGUAUGAUUGAACGUUUUGGUUUGAUGAA